rnacentral:snRNA from 1 species
AAAUUUUCUUUCCGACGGGCGAGCUCCCAGGGCGACGCCCCGGCAUUGCACAGCGCCCGGGUUGAACUCUGCCACUGUCCCCAAACGGGGGAAGGUGGGGCAUGCAAUUUUUGGUGGGGGGGGGAACUGCGUGCGCGCUUUCCCCCC